rnacentral:rRNA from 1 species
UACGGGGGGGGCAAGCGUUGUUCGGAAUUACUGGGCGUAAAGGGCUCGUAGGUGGCCAACUAAGUCAGACGUGAAAUCCCUCGGCUUAACCGGGGAACUGCGUCUGAUACUGGAAGGCUUGAGGAUGGGAGAGGGAUGUAGAAUUUCAGGUGUAGCGGUGAAAUGCGUAGAUAUCUGGAGGAAUACCGGUGGCGAAGGCGGCAUCCUGGACCAUUACUGACGCUGAGGCGCGAAAGCUAGGGGAGCAAACGGG